AGCAGUCGCCACGGUAAUACGUAGGGUGCAAGCGUUAAUCGGAAUUACUGGGCGUAAAGCGUGCGCAGGCGGUUUUGUAAGACAGGCGUGAAAUCCCCGGGCUCAACCUGGGAAUGGCGCUUGUGACUGUAGAGCUGGAGUGCGGCAGAGGGGGAUGGAAUUCCGCGUGUAGCAGUGAAAUGCGUAGAUAUGCGGAGGAACACCGAUGGCGAAGGCAAUCCCCUGGGCCUGCACUGACGCUCAUGCACGAAAGCGUGGGGAGCGAACAGGAUUAGAUACCCCGGUAGUCCCUGUCUCUUAUAC
rnacentral:rRNA from 1 species